rnacentral:rRNA from 1 species
CUACGGGGUGCACCAGUGAGGAAUAUUGCACAAUGGGGGGAACCCUGAUGCAGCAACGCCGCGUGGAGGAUGACGCAUUUCGGUGUGUAAACUCCUUUUAUAUGUCAAGAAAAUGACGGUAGCAUAUGAAUAAGCACCGGCUAACUCCGUGCCAGCAGCCGCGGUAAUACGGAGGGUGCAAGCGUUACUCGGAAUCACUGGGCGUAAAGGACGCGUAGGCGGGUUGGAAAGUCAGGUGUGAAAUCCUACAGCUUAACUGUAGAACUGCACUUGAAACCUCUAAUCCAGAGUAUGGGAGGGGGAGAUGGAAUUAGUGGUGUAGGGGUAAAAUCCGUAGAUAUCACUAGGAAUACCUAAAGCGAAGGCGAUCUCCUGGAACAUUACUGACGCUAAGGCGUGAAAGCGUGGGGAGCAAACAGGAUUAGAUACCCCGGUAGUC